rnacentral:rRNA from 1 species
UACGGGGGGAGCAAACGUUGUUCGGAAUCACUGGGCGUAAAGGGCGUGUAGGCGGCUGGAUAAGUGGGAUGUUAAAUCCCCCGGCUCAACCGGGGACCUGCAUCUCAUACUGUUCAGCUCGAGCACAUCAGAGGAGACUGGAAUUCCCGGUGUAGCGGUGGAAUGCGUAGAGAUCCGGAAGAACACCGGUGGCGAAGGCGGUUGGCUGGGCCGUGGCUGACACUGAGGCGCGGACAGCGUGGGGAGCAAACAGG